UAUUAUGAGAGUUUGAUCCUGGCUCAGGACGAACGCUGGCGGCGUGCCUAAUACAUGCAAGUCGAACGCUUCUUUCCUCCCGAGUGCUUGCACUCAAUUGGAAAGAGGAGUGGCGGACGGGUGAGUAACACGUGGGUAACCUACCCAUCAGAGGGGGAUAACACUUGGAAACAGGUGCUAAUACCGCAUAACAGUUUAUGCCGCAUGGCAUAAGAGUGAAAGGCGCUUUCGGGUGUCGCUGAUGGAUGGACCCGCGGUGCAUUAGCU
rnacentral:rRNA from 1 species